rnacentral:rRNA from 1 species
GACGAACGCUGGCGGCGUGCUUAACACAUGCAAGUCGAACGGUGAAAGCGGAGCUUGCUCCGCUGGAUCAGUGGCGAACGGGUGAGUAACACGUGGGCAACCUGCCCCUCACUUCGGGAUAACUCCGGGAAACCGGGGCUCAUACCGGAUAUGACCUCCUUGGGCAUCCUCGGAGGUGGAAAGUUUUUCGGUGAGGGAUGGGCCCGCGGCCUAUCAGCUUGUUGGUGAGGUAGUGGCUCACCAAGGCGAUGACGGGUAGCCGGCCUGAGAGGGCGACCGGCCACACUGGGACUGAGACACGGCCCAGACGCCUACGGGAGGCAGCAGUGGGGAAUAUUGCGCAAUGGGCGAAAGCCUGACGCAGCAACGCCGCGUGCGGGAUGACGGCCUUCGGGUUGUAAACCGCUUUCAGCAGGGAAGAAGCCGCAAGGUGACGGUACCUGCAGAAGAAGCACCGGCUAACUACGUGCCAGCCGCCGCGGUAA